rnacentral:rRNA from 1 species
AUGACUUUCCUGGCAGAUUCGCUACAGGCCAUGACAACCCAUGACGAGGCGAAACUGAAAGAUGUGAAGAACAUGAAUUGGUGUAAGUUCAUUGCCGACUUCCUGCAUGAUGCAUUCUCAAGCAAGAUGUACCAGAAGGGUUGUCGACUGCAUUUAAUGCUCAUGUACGUCGACUGUCUGGAUCUGUCCACUAUGGACUUCACUGGGACAAGAGGCCCGCCGCCUACGCACAAGUUUGCUAUUUCUGCGUGGACUUACGACACUGUCAAGGCUGUGCUUGCAGCAAACAGGGUAACUGAUACUGAAUAUGGAAAACUGCAGCUGAUGACCAAGCAUGCUAUAAACUACAGCGUAUUUGGGGGGCCUCAAAACUUUGGAAAGUGGAUGGACGUGCACUCAGCUCCGUCUUGCCCUACUGAGGCGAGGGCACCUGUUGAGCAUCUAAUUGGGCAGUUUGCAUUCGGAAUGACCGGCUUGCUCGGGAAGUUGGUUGAGGGUUGGACGUCCCUUAACGGCUCUGACAGCGACGCGGCCACGAGGCAGUUCACUACAUUUGUCCCAGAACGGUCACAUCGGCCAACUGGUUGCCGUGGCCGGUAUGACUACAAGAGUUCCCAAGAGCUUGCUAACACACAAGAUGAACUAGAUGGACACGCUGGUCUCAACAAGGAGGAUGAAGAUGACAUGGAGAACGUGCAACACGACAGCGAUGAUGAUGAACUUGUUGAAGUUCGUGCAGGUGGUAAGAAGGGCAAGGACGCACCAUAUGCCCCCCCCACCGUACAAAGUCAAAGAACAUACGGCUGCGAGAGGCGAGCGGUUGUUGCCCUCAAAGAGGGGGAGGGCUCCAGAGGAUGA